CAAUAGCGUAUAUUUAAGUUGUUGCAGUUAAAAAGCUCGUAGUUGGAUUUCGGGUGGGACGCAGCGGUCUCGCAUUGCGUUUGUACUGCUGCAGCCCUCCUUCUUGCCGGGGGCGGCCUCUCGGACUUCACUGUCUGGGGGUCAGAAUCGGCGAUGUUACUUUGAGUAAAUUAGAGUGUUCAAAGCAAGCUUACGCUCUGAAUAUAAUAGCAUGGGAUAACACGACAGGACUCUGGCCUACCGUGUUGGUCUAUAGGACCAGAGUAAUGAUUAAGAGGGACAGUCGGGGGCAUUCGUAUUCCGUUGUCAGAGGUGAAAUUCUUGGAUUUACGGAAGACGAACAUCUGCGAAAGCAUUUGCCAAGGAUGUUUUCAUUGA
rnacentral:rRNA from 1 species